AAUGGGGGAAACCCUGACGCAGCAAUCCCGCGUGAGUGAUGAAGGCCUUCGGGUUGUAAAGCUCUUUUAGUAAGAAAGAAAAAAAUGACGGUACUUACAGAAAAAGCACCGGCAAACUUCGUGCCAGCAGCCGCGGUAAUACGAAGGGUGCAAGCGUUACUCGGAUUUACUGGGCGUAAAGCGUCCGCAGGCUGUUUAGUCAGUUUGGUGUGAAAUCCCACUGCUCAAAGGUGGAAGUGCAUUGAAUACUGCUAGACUAGAGUAUAGGAGGGGAGAAUGGAAUUCCUGGUGUAGAGGUGAAAUUCGUAGAUAUCAGGAGGAACAACGGAAGCGAAGGCGAUUCUCUGGACUAUUACUGACGCUCAUGGACGAAAGUGUGGGGAGCAAA
rnacentral:rRNA from 1 species